GUGAGAAAUGGCCAAGCUCCUGACUGUGUUUCUGACACAACUGCUGUUCGGAAAGUCAACUUCAUGCAGCUGCUGCAGUGACACCAGAGACACCUGAGGAAGGAGACCUGCAGUACAUCAGCCUUAGACAUGAAGCAAAGCCCUCAGCAUCCACUGCGAGAACCUCAGCACCUGUUUCGGACAGUGUGACCUACGCAAAAGUCUCAGUACAGGCCAGAAAAAAUGAUCAGCAUGAGAUGUUCAUAAUCACAAAUGUGUUAUUUAGCAAGGUGGACAAGCUUUACAGAACACUGGUAUAACAACUGUUCACAACUCAGUUGGUCAUCAUACCUACAUUUGGAGUGAGCUGUUCAUUUCUAAUGGUAUUCUUGUACAUGUGUGAAA